rnacentral:rRNA from 1 species
AUUGAACGCUGGCGGCAUGCCUUACACAUGCAAGUCGAACGGUAACAGGCCGCAAGGUGCUGACGAGUGGCGAACGGGUGAGUAAUGCAUCGGAACGUGCCCAGUAGUGGGGGAUAGCCCGGCGAAAGCCGGAUUAAUACCGCAUACGACCUGAGGGUGAAAGGGGGGGAUCGCACGACCUCUCGCUAUUGGAGCGGCCGAUGGCAGAUUAGCUAGUUGGUGGGGUAAAGGCCUACCAAGGCAACGAUCUGUAGUUGGUCUGAGAGGACGACCAGCCACACUGGGACUGAGACACGGCCCAGACUCCUACGGGAGGCAGCAGUGGGGAAUUUUGGACAAUGGGCGCAAGCCUGAUCCAGCAAUGCCGCGUGCAGGAAGAAGGCCUUCGGGUUGUAAACUGCUUUUGUCAGGGAAGAAAUCUUCUGGGUUAAUACCUCGGGAGGAUGACGGUACCUGAAGAAUAAGCACCGGCUAACUACGUGCCAGCAGCCGCGGUAAAAC